rnacentral:rRNA from 1 species
UACGUAGGGGGCAAGCGUUGUCCGGAAUCAUUGGGCGUAAAGAGCGUGUAGGCGGUUCGGUAAGUCGGCUGUGAAAGUCCAGGGCUCAACCCUGGGAUGCCGGUCGAUACUGCCGGACUAGAGUUCGGAAGAGGCGAGUGGAAUUCCCGGUGUAGCGGUGAAAUGCGCAGAUAUCGGGAGGAAGACCAGUGGCGAAGGCGGGUCUCUGGACAGUUCCUGACGCUGAGGCACGAAGGUCAGGGGAGCAAACGGG